GCGACCCCAGGUCAGGCGGGGAACUACCCGCU
rnacentral:rRNA from 1 species